rnacentral:rRNA from 1 species
AUUGAACGCUGGCGGCAGGCUUAACACAUGCAAGUCGAGCGGAGAUGAGGUGCUUGCACCUUAUCUUAGCGGCGGACGGGUGAGUAAUGCUUAGGAAUCUGCCUAUUAGUGGGGGACAACAUUCCGAAAGGAAUGCUAAUACCGCAUACGUCCUACGGGAGAAAGCAGGGGAUCUUCGGACCUUGCGCUAAUAGAUGAGCCUAAGUCGGAUUAGCUAGUUGGUGGGGUAAAGGCCUACCAAGGCGACGAUCUGUAGCGGGUCUGAGAGGAUGAUCCGCCACACUGGGACUGAGACACGGCCCAGACUCCUACGGGAGGCAGCAGUGGGGAAUAUUGGACAAUGGGGGGAACCCUGACCCAGCCAUGCCGCGUGUGUGAAGAAGGCCUUAUGGUUGUAAAGCACUUUAAGCGAGGAGGAGGCUACUGAGACUAAUACUCUUGGAUAGUGGACGUUACUCGCAGAAUAAGCACCGGCUAACUCUGUGCCAGCAGCCGCGGUAAAAC